UCCCUGGUGGCUCAGUGGUUAAAGUGUCUGCCUCCAAUGCAGGAGACCCAGGUUCAAUCCCUGGGUGGGGAA
rfam:Ovis aries breed Texel chromosome 13, whole genome shotgun sequence.